GUAACAAGGUUUCCGUAGGUGAACCUGCGGAAGGAUCAUUACUGAGUGCGGGCUGCCUCCGGGCGCCCAACCUCCCACCCGUGAAUACCUAACACUGUUGCUUCGGCGGGGAACCCCCUCGGGGGCGAGCCGCCGGGGACUACUGAACUUCAUGCCUGAGAGUGAUGCAGUCUGAGUCUGAAUAUAAAAUCAGUCAAAACUUUCAACAAUGGAUCUCUUGGUUCCGGCAUCGAUGAAGAACGCAGCGAACUGCGAUAAGUAAUGUGAAUUGCAGAAUUCAGUGAAUCAUCGAGUCUUUGAACGCACAUUGCGCCCCCUGGCAUUCCGGGGGGCAUGCCUGUCCGAGCGUCAUUGCUGCCCAUCAAGCCCGGCUUGUGUGUUGGGUCGUCGUCCCCCCCCGGGGGACGGGCCCGAAAGGCAGCGGCGGCACCGUGUCCGGUCCUCGAGCGUAUGGGGCUUUGUCACCCGCUCGACUAGGGCCGGCCGGGCGCCAGCCGACGUCUCCAACCAUUUUUCUUCAGGUUGACCUCGGAUCAGGUAGGGAUACCCGCUGAACUUAAGCAUAUCAAUAAGCGGAGGAAAAGAAACCAACCGGGAUUGCCUCAGUAACGGCGAGUGAAGCGGCAAGAGCUCAAAUUUGAAAUCUGGCCCCUCCGGGGUCCGAGUUGUAAUUUGCAGAGGAUGCUUCGGGUGCGGCCCCUGUCUAAGUGCCCUGGAACGGGCCGUCAGAGAGGGUGAGAAUCCCGUCUUGGGCAGGGUGCCCGUGCCCGUGUGAAGCUCCUUCGACGAGUCGAGUUGUUUGGGAAUGCAGCUCA
rnacentral:misc_RNA from 1 species